rnacentral:lncRNA from 1 species
ACCGUUUCCUCUGUUGACACUACCACGGACUUCGAAUUUUACCCAUCACACUUUACGCUUCUACUUCAAAAUUUCGAAAUGGUCAGUUUCACCGUUAGAAAGCAAGAAAUAAAGAUGCAGAAAAUAAACCCUUCUCUGUAGCGAAAAGGCGCAAAACCGAAGGCUGCAAUCCGAGUUUUUAGGCCACAACAAUCUGUAGAACAUCCAGUAAGUUUGGUUAUUUGGAUAAAUUUGUAUAAUUUACAUUUUAAUUCUAAAAAGAAAUAAAUCCCUAAAUAUCUGAAACUGAAUGUAAGGGGUUCAGCCGCUAGAAUUGGUUGAUAUGCUUGUAUUUGCGAUUCUACUGAUUUUUAGGACUUCAAUGUUAAGCUAUGGCUUAUUGCUUAUUCUUCAUACGAUGUUUUGAAUGUUAAAAUCGAGAACAUAGAGGUUAUCUUAAUUAUAUUAUGGAAAAAUUUCCUUAGAUUCAUUGCUCUGCUCUGCUUGUAUUUGCGAUUCUACUAAUAUUUAGGGCUUCACUGUGCUGCUAUGGCUUAUUUCUCAUUCGAUUUCUACGUUAUUGGAGGUUUUGCAGUUGAUUUAAAGGCGAGGCUUUGAGAAUCGAAAGAUUGCUGUUACUUCAGAAGCAUUUGAGUUUUGGGCACCCGAUUUCUUCAGAGUAAACCAAAGAAACGGUCCUGCCAUCUAAUUUAAAGCGUGUAUCGACUAAGUAAGUUCCACGACUAGGUGAUUCACCUAAUUUUUUCAUUCAUGUCUAUGGAAUACGUUGUUAGGACAACCAUUCUUUCCAAACGCUGGAAAGAUCUCUGGACCUUGGUCCCCUACCUUAAUUUUCAAUCUGAAGCAUCUGAUGAGUUAGAGUUGGGUGAGUUUAGACACUUUGUUAAUAGGACUUUGAUACUUUGGAGAGGUACAAAGAUUCAGAAAUUCACAUUGUAUUUGUAUAUGUUCGAUUUUAGUGAAUCUUCAACUUGUGAUUUCAGUUUGUGGGUCCGUUUUGCACUGGAACAUAAGGUUGAAGAGUUAUACCUGGAUAAAUAAUAUGAUCUGGAAUUUCUCUUAUACUCUAGUUCAUCGAUCAGAAAAUUACACCUUCUAAACUGUGUUCUAGAAGUUCAUGGGAAGGUACAUUGGGAUCAACUCAAGAGUUUAACAAUUGAAGGUGUGAGCUUGAAUGAAUUUGUGCUUGACGAAAUGUUAUCAGGUUGCCCUAAGUUGGAAAUAUUGACAAUAAGCCAUGGCUAUCAAUUGAGUAUUCAUUCCGCUAGUUUGAAGGAGCUAUAUCUUCUUUAUGAUAAUCCCUAUGAUUAUGUUGACGUAAAUACAUUGAUGAAAAUUUGGACUCCAAAUCGAGGAAAUUUCCCUUGUAAGCGCUUGCUAAUGAGCGUCCCAUCAUUGGUUUUGCUACCUUUGAUUCUUAUACGUAUCUCGAGCAUAUAUCGGACCAAGAAAAUGAAAUGUUGAGGGAAAUUUUCCAGAGCAUUUAUCUUGUUGAGAAGUUAUUGGUAGGAGAUUGGUGCUUUGAGGUUUGGUUUCUCUUAAUAUUUUCUUUUAUAAAAUUUAUUUACAUCAUUUGCAUGUGCUUAAUUAUUAUUUGAUUCUUGGCUCUACUUUUAAUAACAGGUGCUGGCAUCAAUGGAAAAGACAGAUUUGCUUUCUUCUCUUUUAAAUUUGAAAAGUUUGACACUAGAUACUUGCCUUAAAGAAAGGUGGACUUGCUGGAUUUCUGAACCUUCUCAAAAUCUCGCCAAAUGUGGGCAUGUUAGCCAUACAUAAUAGUGCUGGCUGCUCACCUCAGGUAACAAAUGAUAAGUUAACUUCUGGUUUAUGUUGUAUUACAAAUUCUGAAAUACGAACAGAACAAUUUUCUCUACAGGAGUAACUUACUGAAUGGAAUCGGCUCGGAGAAUCUCUUAUCCCUGAAAUUGAGGAAAUAGAGUUCCCAGAUUCCUUUCUAAUGCAUCUGAGGAUAGUUAAAAUCGAAUGGUUUUAUUACGAGACCUCGAUACUUCCAUUGAUAGAGUUCGUGUUGAAACAUGCUAGCGUGCUCGAAAAGAUGGUGAUUGAGGUUAGAAUGCCUAAAUCAGUUGGACCAGAGUGUUCAGUUCUUGCGGCACAAAAACUGUUGAGAAUGCCAAGAUCCUCUCCCAUUGCUGAGGUCGUGUUUCGCUGGUGCACUUACUAAAGAAGAGUUACUUUAGUAUAUUAUUUGUGACUUUUUAUUUGAGUGUUAUAAUUUUGUAAGUUGGAACUGUCAAGUACUACUGUGUGUCAAAUGUGUCCUGAAAGCAUGCAAUGGCUGUAUGCUCUUGAUGGAGCGUCCAUCAAUUGACUUCAAAAUACAAAAAAAUGGCUGUAUGUUCUUGUUGGAGAGCGAAUAUCUAUUGACUUCAAAAUACAAUAAAGUUCACGUUUGGUAGAAAUUAAAAUUAAAAUCAGA